rnacentral:misc_RNA from 1 species
GAUGAAGAACGUAGCGAAAUGCGAUAAGUAAUGUGAAUUGCAGAAUUCAGUGAACCAUCGAAUCUUUGAACGCACAUUGCGCCCGGCAGUAAUCUGCCGGGCAUGCCUGUCCGAGCGUCAUUUCUGCCCUCGAGCGAGUCCAGCAUCUAGGUGCUGGGCCCGCCCGGCGUUGGGGCACUACGGGAAGCCCUGUGCUGUCCCCCGUAGGCCCCGAAAUGAAGUGGCGGUCCUGCCGCGGCGCCCCCUGUGUAGUAUAACAGCUCGCUUCGGGACCCGGUGGAGGCCUGCCGUCAAACCUUACUCUCUAAGUUUGACCUCGGAUCAGGUAGGGUUACCCGCUGAACUUAAGCAUAUCAAUAAGCGGAGGA